rnacentral:rRNA from 1 species
GUGGGUAGAAAUGUUACCUUGACAAAGCCUAAUCUUGUCAGAUCCCAGAUGCCAAACAGGGUUAGGCCUAGUUAGUACUUGAAUGAGAGACCGCUUGGAAAACCAGAUGCCACUUAUG